rnacentral:rRNA from 1 species
AGGCAAAUGUGAAGGUGCUGCAUGGUUGUCGUCAGCUCGUGCCGUGAGGUGUCGGCUUAAGUGCCAUAACGAGCGCAACCCUUAUCUUCAGUUACUAACAGGUCAUGCUGAGGACUCUGGAGAGACUGCCGUCGUAAGAUGUGAGGAAGGUGGGGAUGACGUCAAAUCAGCACGGCCCUUACGUCCGGGGCUACACACGUGUUACAAUGGGGGGUACAGAAGGCAGCUACCGGGCGACCGGAUGCCAAUCCCAAAAACCUCUCUCAGUUCGGAUCGAAGUCUGCAACCCGACUUCGUGAAGCUGGAUUCGCUAGUAAUCGCGCAUCAGCCAUGGCGCGGUGAAUACGUUCCCGGGCCUUGUACACACCGCCCGUCAAGCCAUGAAAGCCGGGGGUACCUGAAGUACGUAACCGCAAGGAGCGUCCUAGGGUAAAACUGGUAAUUGGGGCUAAGUCGUAACAAGGUAGCCGUACCGGAAGGUGCGGCUGGAUCACCUC